UACGUAGGUGGCAAGCGUUGUCCGGAAUUAUUGGGCGUAAAGGGCUCGUAGGCGGUUUGUCGCGUCAGGAGUGAAAACCUCGGGCUUAACUCGGGGCUUGCUUUCGAUACGGGCAGACUGGAGGUAUGCAGGGGAGAACGGAAUUCCUGGUGUAGCGGUGAAAUGCGCAGAUAUCAGGAGGAACACCGGUGGCGAAGGCGGUUCUCUGGGCAUGACCUGACGCUGAGGAGCGAAAGCGUGGGGAGCAAACAGG
rnacentral:rRNA from 1 species